CAGAGAAGAUGAUGGGCAUUAAAGAAAUUCCAUAUUGAAUUUACUUUCUUUGUGGCAAAAGUUAGCCACUGGGUAAGAAACUGCCCUUGCCUUGAUUGCUGAUAUUAUGCUGUCCAAAUUAGACAAACAAGACACAAAAGAAAAUGUUUGCUGAACAUUACCAAGACAAGAUAUGACUUCUCAGUUUCCUGCUCCUGCCACAAUGCCUGACUCUUGCUGCCCGCCAUGCCUUUCUCCAAUGAUGGACUCUUACUCCUCUGGAACUCUAGAGAUUCAUCGAGAAGUCAAACACAUUUCUUCUUUGUAGAAGGAAAAAAUAUCCAAGACUUCACCCUGUCAAGAACUUAACUGGAAUACAAACCAAUGCAGAGCUGUGAGAACAUGAGCCACAUUGCUGCAGCACAAGAUGCAUCUGGAAGAGGUCCUGCUCUCUAGUCAGUGGUGUCCUGAAUUCCACCCUAAAACCCUUCUUCCAGCCUCAAACCCACAAACUCCUGUUGUGGAACAAUGAUGUCCUACAACAGAGAAGA